UGAUGUGGUCGAGUGUCUCUC
rnacentral:siRNA from 1 species